rnacentral:rRNA from 1 species
GACGAACGCUGGCGGCGUGCUUAACACAUGCAAGUCGAACGGAAAGGCCCUGCUUUUGUGGGGUGCUCGAGUGGCGAACGGGUGAGUAACACGUGAGUAACCUGCCCUUGACUUUGGGAUAACUUCAGGAAACUGGGGCUAAUACCGGAUAGGAGCUCCUGCUGCAUGGUGGGGGUGGGAAAUUUCGGCGGUUGGGGAUGGACUCGCGGCUUAUCAGCUUGUUGGUGGGGUAGUGGCUUACCAAGGCUUUGACGGGUAGCCGGCCUGAGAGGGUGACCGGCCACAUUGGGACUGAGAUACGGCCCAGACUCCUACGGGAGGCAGCAGUGGGGAAUAUUGCACAAUGGGCGGAAGCCUGAUGCAGCAACGCCGCGUGCGGGAUGACGGCCUUCGGGUUGUAAACCGCUUUCGCCUGUGACGAAGCGUGAGUGACGGUAAUGGGUAAAGAAGCACCGGCUAACUACGUG